rnacentral:rRNA from 1 species
UGGGGAAUAUUGCACAAUGGGGGAAACCCUGAUGCAGCAACGCCGCGUGAAGGAAGAAGUAUUUCGGUAUGUAAACUUCUAUCAACAGGGAAGAAAGAAAUGACGGUACCUGACUAAGAAGAACCGGCUAAAUACGUGCCAGCAGCCGCGGUAAUACGUAUGGUUCAAGCGUUAUCCGGAUUUACUGGGUGUAAAGGGUGAGUAGGCGGUUAUGCAAGUCACAUGUGAAAUGUCGGGGCUCAACUCCGGCCUGCAUGAGAAACUGUAUAACUAGAGUGCAGGAGAGGUAAGCGGAAUUCCCAGUGUAGCGGUGAAAUGCGUAGAUAUUGGGAAGAACACCGGUGGCGAAGGCGGCUUACUGGACUGUUACUGACGCUGAGUCACGAAAGCGUGGGGAGCG